rnacentral:rRNA from 1 species
UAGGGAAUCUUCGGCAAUGGGGGCAACCCUGACCGAGCAACGCCGCGUGAGUGAAGAAGGUUUUCGGAUCGUAACGCUCUGUUGUAAGAGAAGAACGUGUGUGAGAGUGGAAAGUUCACACAGUGACGGUAACUUACCAGAAAGGGACGGCUAACUACGUGCCAGCAGCCGCGGUAAUACGUAGGUCCCGAGCGUUGUCCGGAUUUAUUGGGCGUAAAGCGAGCGCAGGCGGUUUAAUAAGUCUGAAGUUAAAGGCAGUGGCUUAACCAUUGUUCGCUUUGGAAACUGUUAAACUUGAGUGCAGAAGGGGAGAGUGGAAUUCCAUGUGUAGCGGUGAAAUGCGUAGAUAUAUGGAGGAACACCGGUGGCGAAAGCGGCUCUCUGGUCUGUAACUGACGCUGAGGCUCGAAAGCGUGGGGAGCAAACAGG